ensembl:lncRNA
UUUUGGUGUAAAUGCAUUUGUUGCGUAAAUCCUUUUCCCCAACUAACAAAAUAGUGCAACAUAUUUUGGGGAGAGAAGGCUAAUUACUCAAUCUGUAUAAUUUAUGUAAUGUCUAUGAUUGUCUCUGCAUCAGCUACAAAAAAAACCCCAAACUGCAUCAACAUCACAAACUUCCUAAAGGUUAAACAAUCUACCAAGUGUGUAUCACUCAAGUGAUAUCUGCAGACCACACCUGCAUGAUGAAAAUGAUUAUAUUCAAAAUAGCGUAGAUCAUUUAAGUUCAUACUGUGGUUGAUCUGCCAGGGGGAAAACAACAGGUGUAAUGCAUCUGUUUAAUGACUAAACAGCUACAAUAGUGGUGUCAGACUCCAGCGCUGAGGAGAGAAAAGGACAGACCAGUGUCUGCUAGAUAAGUAAACCUGCACUGCCACCUAGAGCAAGAAGAAUUGCACAGGGAACGCUGAUGUAGAGCCACCAAGAUUGAGUUAAUCAAUGUAUUAUUUGAUCUAUAUACACUACCAGUCAAAAGUGUGGAGACACUCGACUGAAAUGUUUCUCUUGAUCUUAAAAAUCUUUUGAUCUGAAGGUGUGUGAUUAAAUGUUUGAAAUCGAUGUUGUAGACAAAAAUAUAAUCGUGACAACGUAUUCAUUUCCUUCAUUAGAAAACUAACAUUUUAUUUACAAAAAAAUAUUUUUUUAAAUGGAUGACUCGGAGCAAAAUAUUCCAAAAAGCAGUCAGUAAGAGUCCAGCGUAGGUGGGAACUCCUUUAAUACUGUUUAAAAAGCAUCUGAGGGAAAUUCCUCAAGAAUUUCCCUGGAAAUUCUAGGCAAAAAGGGUGUCUACUUUGAAGAUUCUGAAGUACUAAAUUAUUUUGAUUUAUUUAUUUUUGCAACAUAAUUCCCAUAGUUCCACUUGUGUUACUCCACUUUAUUGACUUUAUUAUUAUUCUAAAAUGUGGGGGGAAAAUAAAGAAUGAGUGUGUCUAAACUUUUAACUGGUAGUGUAUGUAGAGCAGCAUACAUUUUGAAGCAUUUUAAUCAUUUAUCACCUUACACAAGGACAUGCACUUGAACUUAGUUCAAGUUUUGAGCUAGUUUGUCUUUGUUUUUGUUUAUACUCACACAUUUACCUCUUGUUCUUACAGGGAGUAUUGAAGAAAACACCGAAAAAUCCUAGAAUUCCUGGUUCAGCCAUUUAGGAUGUUUCUGAUAUGAAAAAACGAUAUUUAAAUAUAAUGGACACUAAACAGACACAACAUAAUUGAAGUCACCUCUACCACACUCCUACAUCAUCAGCAAACAAUGGCCUUUCUAUACAAACGUCCAUCUGAGAAAGGAUUUAUAAUCAUGCUAAGUAAAACUGAACUGCAGACAUU